rnacentral:sRNA from 1 species
GUUGGGUAUGGUGGUGCAUGCCUGUAAUCCCAGUUAUUUGGAAGGCUGAGGCAAGAGGAUCUCAAAUUAAAGGCCAGCCAGGGCAGCUUAGUGGUAGAACACUUGCCUUGC